rnacentral:misc_RNA from 1 species
UUACCAAAUUAUGAAUAGAAAACGGGACAUUUUUAAAUGUUAAGUGCAUGAGUGUAAAUUUUUUUAUGUAUAUGCCAUUAUCUAUGUUUAGAAACAGUAACUGCAUUGAGAAUGUCAAAUUUUAUCAUUUGUGAAUGGCAUACUUUCUUACUCCAUUCAAUACAAUUGAUUGUUUAUUUAUGAUUAUAUUGAUUUUAGUUUUCAAUUUGAAAUUUUUUUUGGUUUCAGAUUCAGUGUAUUAAAGUGUCCAAGAAGCAGCAUUUAUGUUUACAUGACCACCUCAAUUGUGCAUGUAUUGAAAUUUAGUACAUGAGUGACAAUAGUUGCUCAGACAGAACUUUCUUUUGGUUAUUUUCCUAUUUAACAUACCGCUCUGUAUGAUAAAAUCAUAAAAUAUGUAAAAUCACUUACCCAGCAUGCAACUUGCACACACCAAACUGAUUUUUGCCUGUUUUAUGGGAUUUUUGGUCAAUGGUUAUUAUUGCAAUUUAAUUCUGUUCAGAACAAACAAACCAUAUAUAUAUAUAUACCCACCUAUUGACUGUGUUACUAACUUAUUUUACUGCAAUUGAAUUAUUUUAAAAAGUCUGUAUUCCUAGUCUUAAUUCCCCUUGACUAUAAUUAUUUUAUUUGAAUACAAAAUUCUAGCGAAAAAAUUCUGUUGGCAAUGAGAAAUGAGUCCCCAUGUUCCCAUUAUAUUCCACCAUGUCAUCUCAUCCAAAGAUUUGGUAUUCAUUUCAUGUCAUAUCAUGUCAACAGCCACUUGUGUAUCUUAGGUCUUCACUUUUUUUUUUUUUAUAAAGAUGUAUUAAUUUUGUUUAGUACUCAUUUUUCUUUUUAUAUAGAUGUGGACUCUGGCAUAGAUGUGAUAGCAUGUUAUAACAUUUCAUAACAAACACAUGAGAAAGUUAAUGUUGUUUGUAUUUAAAAAAGCAAAAAGAAGUGCUGGUACAUUUAUUUCUUACAAUAUGAUUUGUAGUAUUUUGUUCAUGUGUGUGAAUUUGUGCUGUUUUUACUUUGGAACAAAAACAUGAGUCAAUAAUGUCGUGGAAUCCAUUUAUUUUGUUCCAUUUCAUUUCUUAGGUUUUUUUUGUAAUGUGUAUUUGUAUACUAAGUAUUUUUUUCCAUGUAUUUUACCAAAUUUCAAAUAAAUGUGAAUCAAAUUU